rnacentral:tRNA from 1 species
GGGGGUGUAGCUCAGUUGGCAGAGCAGCGGCCUUUUAAGCCGAAGCGCGCGGGUUCGAGCCCCGCCGCCCCCA